GCGAGGGCGACUGAGCGUGGGGAGGAAGCGGGGAGCGAAACCGCGAGUCGAGGAACACGAACCUCAUACGAGGCGCUGCCGAGCAGGGCGAGCGGGCACGAUACCGCGAAGCUCUUGUGGCCAAAGCAAGGCAGCGUAAAUGGGGCGAUUGUGCGGCGAAGGAUCGCGUU
rfam:Variovorax paradoxus strain TBEA6 VPARA_contig000013, whole genome shotgun sequence.